rnacentral:rRNA from 1 species
CGGCAGGCCUAACACAUGCAAGUCGAGCGKAAGAGAGAAGCUUGCUUCUCUUGAGAGCGGCGGACGGGUGAGUAAUGCCUAGGAAUCUGCCUGGUAGUGGGGGAUAACGUCCGGAAACGGACGCUAAUACCGCAUACGUCCUACGGGAGAAAGCAGGGGACCUUCGGGCCUUGCGCUAUCAGAUGAGCCUAGGUCGGAUUAGCUAGUUGGUGAGGUAAUGGCUCACCAAGGCGACGAUCCGUAACUGGUCUGAGAGGAUGAUCAGUCACACUGGAACUGAGACACGGUCCAGACUCCUACGGGAGGCAGCAGUGGGGAAUAUUGGACAAUGGGCGAAAGCCUGAUCCAGCCAUGCCGCGUGUGUGAAGAAGGUCUUCGGAUUGUAAAGCACUUUAAGUUGGGAGGAAGGGUACUUACCUAAUACGUGAGUAUUUUGACGUUACCGACAGAAUAAGCACCGGCUAACUCUGUGCCAGCAGCCGCGGUAAUACAGAGGGUGCAAGCGUUAAUCGGAAUUACUGGGCGUAAAGCGCGCGUAGGUGGUUCGUUAAGUUGGAUGUGAAAUCCCCGGGCUCAACCUGGGAACUGCAUCCAAAACUGGCGAGCUAGAGUAUGGUAGAGGGUGGUGGAAUUUCCUGUGUAGCGGUGAAAUGCGUAGAUAUAGGAAGGAACACCAGUGGCGAAGGCGACCACCUGGACUGAUACUGACACUGAGGUGCGAAAGCGUGGGGAGCAAACAGGAUUAGAUACCCUGGUAGUCCACGCCGUAAACGAUGUCAACUAGCCGUUGGKAGCSUUGAGCUCUUAGUGGCGCAGCUAACGCAUUAAGWUGACYGCCUGG